rnacentral:rRNA from 1 species
UACGAAGGGGGCUAGCGUUGCUCGGAAUCACUGGGCGUAAAGGGUGCGUAGGCGGGUCUUUAAGUCAGGGGUGAAAUCCUGGAGCUCAACUCCAGAACUGCCUUUGAUACUGAAGAUCUUGAGUGCGGGAGAGGUGAGUGGAACUGCGAGUGUAGAGGUGAAAUUCGCAGAUAUCGGGAAGAACACCAGUGGCGAAGGCGGCUAACUGGUCCGAUACUGACGCUGAGGUGCGAAAGCGUGGGGAGCAAACAGG